ACCCUGGCGCCCGCCCAAUCCAUGAUCACGAACACCAGAAGCAGCCCAAAUAAAAAAACACUCCGGCCCGACCACAGUCGUCCCCGACCUUCCCGAUCCCCAAUCCCACGCUACACCCCCGCCGCCGCGCCCCAAGGCCCCCGCCGCCGCGCCCCCAUGUCCCGGCCGCCGCGCCCCCGGGGCCCCGCCGUCGCGCCGCGUUGCUACCUCGGCUACGACCCCAGGCCCCGGCCGCCGCGCCGCCAGGCCGCCUCCGCCAUGCCACCAGGCCAAGGCCGCCGCACUACCAGGCCACCUCCACCGCGCCGCCUACCUUCCUCCACAGCGCCGCCCCCUCCCAGUCCCGCCUAGGCGCUGCACCACCACCUCCCCGGGAAUGGUCCGCCUUCCCCCUGAGAUCCCAGCGACGACGAGAAAGAUGACGGGGUAGCUGCCCGUCUUCACGCAUGGCGCACCUGGUCCUUGGAUCCCCCUCCCCACUCCUCUCUGGUGACCCUACUCGCUCGCUCCGGUGACCAGCCGGGCGUCACGCGAUAGAUCCCCAAGCUCCUUUACAUUCAGCGCCGCCGCCACACAACCUCAUCUCCGUUUUCUCUUCAUUACGACCUGUAGCCUAUAGGAGUUUCUUCAGCUGUGGGUCAACAAGAAAACCAGCGGCAGUCCAUGCACCCGUUCUAUCUCUUUCCUCUCUGAUGCUCUUUAUCUUACCAAUUUGUUUUCUAUUGGAACUGCAGCCCGAGGGAGGUUGGACGGACAGCAUAUUGGCGAUGUUAACAUCAGUCUGUUUAUAUUGAACUGAUGAUCGUGUGUUAAAAGUUUUAAAUGUUUCUUUUUGAGCUUCUCCCAAUUAAUAUACAUGAACUUGAUUCUCUUGUUAACAUGUACUUAUAUCAGCUUCAUUAGAUUUUGUGUUUGUGCUUGUAACACAAUCAGUUCAGAUCUCGAUAGACCACAAGUUCAAGUUCACUAGUAUUUAUAAAAUGCUGGUAGCAGUACUAAUAUUUACAAAUUUGUAACCUAAGAACUAAGCUUGCAUCUUAUUACUUCUAUGGAAGCACUGGCCUCAUAAAUUUUUUGUAGGAGUAUUUGGUAAAAUGCUGUAAAACAAGUUUCCUUUUUUGAGAGAUACAAAUCAUGUGAAGCAGUUAAAUGUUGUGUUAGAAAACCAGUUUGGUUGUGUUGAUGUGAUGCCAGAAUUUUGAUUCAGAGAAGCCGAAAUGGGUUUUUUAUGUUGCAUUUUUAUAUCAGAACAAUUCACACACUAACUUCUUUGACAUUCAAAUUUCUUUUUCAUGAAGUUCAUAAUUUUGUGUCCAUGGUGUAGAUUCGCCGAUGCUCCUCUUUCUUGGCUAGUGGGCCAACACGGGUGUCCUCAUGGUGGCCUCCCUCCGACGAUCUGAGGUGCCCUCAUGGCCUCCUCUGCUUCCUACCUAGCAGAUCAUGGCGGCCCUCCCCCACUUGCUGCUCAUCAUCAUCGAUCUCAACAACGAAGAGGGGCCAAAAUAAACGUGAACCUCGUCGCCCUCUUCAUGGUAAUGAUUCCUUACCGCUGCUACAAUUCUAUACUUAUUGUUCAGUACUACUAGUACUGAUCAACUAUGACUUGAUUGAAAAAUGGAGUUGAUUCCUGGACCCUGACUAUCCUUCUACAAAUAGUACUCAAUAGACUACCACUGAUCAUUUUCUUGAAAAAGUGUGCCUUUUCUGCUGUAUUCUCCUUGUUAUUUACUUGUCAAAAUUUAGUUUGAAUCCACUACAAUUUCCAUGAGUGGAUUUUUUUAAAACAGAAUUUCCAUGAGUGGAUUUAAAAAUCAACAAAUGUAAAGUUUUAAAAUGCAUACAACAACUACAAAAUAUCAAUUUAGUUCAGUCCAGUUUGUAAUGCUGCUCCACCUUCCGGUCAUUGACGAGCCCCUGGGUAGGCGCUUCCUCCUCUCAGGUCUGCCUCCCUCUAACACUAUCAGUUCAAAUUUGCUAAUAUCUACAGUACUGAUUGGGGAAUUUUGGUAGUUCAUUUUCCUAAUAUCUCGACGCUGCCCCUUCCUGCAGGACCCGACCCAACCUCUGCCGCCAAGGCACGGCACCUCCACCUCCCAGCGAAGGACCACCACCUUCCUGACGACGUGCCAACCCCGACGAGGCCCGCCAGCCCUGGAGUUCCUGCCGCGACGCCUCAACCUCCUGUUCAGCCAUGGAUUCUUGCCAUCCACCACGCCAUCAGGAGCAUGAUUGGUGAGAAACACCUUCGUGCUCCUCCUCUCCUACUCUUCAGUUCACAUACUGCUAUCCAUGAAGGCCAUUUUUCUUGUAAUUCUGUGUUAGCGAUCAGUACUAGUGCUCAUCAGGACGGCAAGCAGCAGUACUGAUCAGUAUGACUUGCACAAAAUACUAGUACUGAUUAGUACUUUCUUAAUGUUAAAGAUGAGCAGUAAAAGAUACAAGUUGCAGUUCCAGGGCAACCUGUCUCAGAUCCUUUUCAGGUUCAGGUAAUAAAUGUUUGGUAUUCUUAUAUACUUGCAUCAGUUCAGACUCGCGGAUACAAUAAGUUGAGGGAAAACGCAUACAAAAGUUCAAAGUUGACAAACAUGGGUUCUUUGUUUCAAUGUUCGCUAGUGUAUGCAGAUUGGGUUUGCAUGCAUUUCAUAGUUGGAUGGCUACUGAUCUCUAUAAAACGUUGGAAGCAGUGCUUUCAUUACUAGUCCAACCAUACUAGUGCCGGGGAAGAAGGCAGAACCUCUGGGUGCAUGAUGGAAAAAAUUGCAAGUUCUUGUUUAGAUGUUCAGGAUACCGUUCUCUCAUUUCAUUUAUGUUCAGGAUAGCAGGUGCAUGAUGGAAAAUUGCGUAUCAUGUAGUUCUUGUUUAGAUGUCGUGCAAGUUCAAAAAUUGUUGAUUUUGCCACUGGAGAGAACCCGUUGGUGCAUUGUUUUUCCGGUAUGACGUCCCUUGGUAUGUUUGGAGUA